CGUGCCUGCCGCCUGCAGCAUCGCUCCGGCGUGUGUACCAUCUGCGACCGCGAGGUGCAGUUCCACCGGCACCACAUGAAGCGGCACAGCGAGAUGGUGGCUGAGGGACUGCUGGAAGAGGGGGCGCCCAUGCCGGAGGAGCAGGACACGCUGCCGGCGGGCGCGCUGCAGCGGCGCGUCGGCAAGUACCUGGCCGGCGGCGUGUGCAGCAUCUGCGGCGAGCACGUGCCAGAAAAGCUGCGCAAGCACGAGCGGCUGCACAACAUCACGCACACGUGCCCCAUCUGCA